UCGAGGAGCCGCUGUGGAGGACGCGAGUUACGCUUUGCGGGGGAUUUUGCCUCGUCUCCGUUACGAGUUGUUGACUGAGCGCGGCGCUGUGGUUUUUAACUUGCUUACCUUGUGGUCUUGGAAAACCUGAGGGAGGUUUUUAUGCGGCCACCCUCUCAGUGAGCUCCCCUUUCCACGCCGUCCGUCUGCCUCGGCCGGCGACGCGCCAAAGGACAACUGUUCUCUUGAAAGGAGCCUGAAAAAGCCAACCGACAAUCCUCAGACUGAUGUGUCCAGGCCUGAAUUCUUGCAAUGGAAUGCUGGUUGGAAAUAAAAUGCACCACUUCCUGCUUGACCUAUAACAAUCCCCCAAGUGUGCUCUUCGUACAUUUUCUUCAUCCGCUGAUUGGAAAGGACCCUAGAGACCAAAGAGAAACAAGAACUUUAAGACAGAAGAAGCUUGGAACAGAGCCUGCUGCCACUCCUUUGCCACCCCAUGAGAUGUAAGCAAGAAAUAACAUUUAUUUUGGAGACUCAGGAGAUGCGGGUUCAGUCCCUGGGUUGGAAAGAUCCCCU